GACGAACCGUGCGAACGUUGUUCGGAAUCACUGGGCUUAAAGGGCGCGUAGGCGGGCUGCCAAGUCUGUGGUGAAAUCCUCCAGCUUAACUGGAGAACUGCCGUGGAUACUGGCGGCCUCGAGGGUGAUAGGGGUCGGUGGAACUGUGCGUGGAGCGGUGAAAUGCGUUGAUAUGCACAGGAACUCCGGUGGCGAAGGCGACCGACUGGAUCACUUCUGACGCUGAGGCGCGAAAGCUAGGGGAGCGAACGGG
rnacentral:rRNA from 2 species